AACGAACUCUGGUAUUGAUUGGUGCUUGCAUCAUGAUUUACAUUUGAGUGAGUGGCGAACUGGUGAGUAACACGUGGGAAACCUGCCCAGAAGCGGGGGAUAACACCUGGAAACAGAUGCUAAUACCGCAUAACAACUUGGACCGCAUGGUCCGAGUUUGAAAGAUGGCUUCGGCUAUCACUUUUGGAUGGUCCCGCGGCGUAUUAGCUAGAUGGUGGGGUAACGGCUCACCAUGGCAAUGAUACGUAGCCGACCUGAGAGGGUAAUCGGCCACAUUGGGACUGAGACACGGCCCAAACUCCUACGGGAGGCAGCAGUAGGGAAUCUUCCACAAUGGACGAAAGUCUGAUGGAGCAACGCCGCGUGAGUGAAGAAGGGUUUCGGCUCGUAAAACUCUGUUGUUAAAGAAGAACAUAUCUGAGAGUAACUGUUCAGGUAUUGACGGUAUUUAACCAGAAAGCCACGGCUAACUACGUGCCAGCAGCCGCGGUAAUACGUAGGUGGCAAGCGUUGUCCGGAUUUAUUGGGCGUAAAGCGAGCGCAGGCGGUUUUUUAAGUCUGAUGUGAAAGCCUUCGGCUCAACCGAAGAAGUGCAUCGGAAACUGGGAAACUUGAGUGCAGAAGAGGACAGUGGAACUCCAUGUGUAGCGGUGAAAUGCGUAGAUAUAUGGAAGAACACCAGUGGCGAAGGCGGCUGUCUGGUCUGUAACUGACGCUGAGGCUCGAAAGUAUGGGUAGCAAACAGGAUUAGAUACCCUGGUAGUCCAUACCGUAAACGAUGAAUGCUAAGUGUUGGAGGGUUUCCGCCCUUCAGUGCUGCAGCUAACGCAUUAAGCAUUCCGCCUGGGGAGUACGGCCGCAAGGCUGAAACUCAAAGGAAUUGACGGGGGCCCGCACAAGCGGUGGAGCAUGUGGUUUAAUUCGAAGCUACGCGAAGAACCUUACCAGGUCUUGACAUACUAUGCAAAUCUAAGAGAUUAGACGUUCCCUUCGGGGACAUGGAUACAGGUGGUGCAUGGUUGUCGUCAGCUCGUGUCGUGAGAUGUUGGGUUAAGUCCCGCAACGAGCGCAACCCUUAUUAUCAGUUGCCAGCAUUAAGUUGGGCACUCUGGUGAGACUGCCGGUGACAAACCGGAGGAAGGUGGGGAUGACGUCAAAUCAUCAUGCCCCUUAUGACCUGGGCUACACACGUGCUACAAUGGAUGGUACAACGAGUUGCGAACUCGCGAGAGUAAGCUAAUCUCUUAAAGCCAUUCUCAGUUCGGAUUGUAGGCUGCAACUCGCCUACAUGAAGUCGGAAUCGCUAGUAAUCGCGGAUCAGCAUGCCGCGGUGAAUACGUUCCCGGGCCUUGUACACACCGCCCGUCACACCAUGAGAGUUUGUAACACCCAAAGUCGGUGGGGUAACCUUUUAGGAACCAGCCGCCU
rnacentral:rRNA from 1 species